rnacentral:rRNA from 1 species
UAAGGUCACGGCGAGACGAGCCGUUUAUCAUUACGAUAGGUGUCAAGUGGAAGUGCAGUGAUGUAUGCAGCUGGAGGCAUCCUAACAGACCGAGAGAUUUGAAC